rnacentral:rRNA from 1 species
UCCACGCCCUAAACGAUGGAUGCUUGGUGUUGGGAAGAUCUCUUCUCAGUGCCGUAAGCUAACGCGUUAAGCAUCCCGCCUGGGGAGUACGGCCGCAAGGCUAAAAACUCAAAGGAAUUGGACGGGGGCCCGCACAAGCGGUGGAGCAUGUGGUUUAAUUCGAAGAUACGCGAAGAACCUCACCUGGGCUUGACAUGCUGGUGGUAGUGAACCGAAAGGAGAACGACCCGUUCCCUUGUGGAAUGGGAGCCUGCACAGGUGCUGCAUGGCUGUCGUCAGCUCGGUGUCGUGAG